GGGCGUGUGGCUCAGUUGGUAGAGCGUUCGCUUAGCAUGUUUUACCGCAUGCGAAAGGUCCUGGGUUCGAUUCCCAGCUCGUCCA
rfam:Neurospora tetrasperma FGSC 2509 unplaced genomic scaffold NETTE2scaffold_3, whole genome shotgun sequence.